UACGGGGGGGGCAAGCGUUGUUCGGAAUUACUGGGCGUAAAGGGCUCGUAGGCGGCCAACUAAGUCAGACGUGAAAUCCCUCGGCUUAACCGGGGAACUGCGUCUGAUACUGGAUGGCUUGAGUUUGGGAGAGGGAUGCGAGAAUUCCAGGUGUAGCGGUGAAAUGCGUAGAUAUCUGGAGGAACACCGGUGGCGAAGCGGCAUCCUGGACCGACACUGACACUGAGGAGCGAAAGCCAGGGGAGCAAACGGG
rnacentral:rRNA from 1 species